rnacentral:rRNA from 1 species
GUCCACGCCGUAAACGAUGUCGACUUGGAGGUUGUGCCCUUGAGGCGUGGCUUCCGGAGCUAACGCGUUAAGUCGACCGCCUGGGGAGUACGGCCGCAAGGUUAAAACUCAAAUGAAUUGACGGGGGCCCGCACAAGCGGUGGAGCAUGUGGUUUAAUUCGAUGCAACGCGAAGAACCUUACCUGGUCUUGACAUCCACAGAACUUUCCAGAGAUGGAUUGGUGCCUUCGGGAACUGUGAGACAGGUGCUGCAUGGCU